rnacentral:rRNA from 1 species
GCAGCAGCCGCGGGAAUACGGAGGGAGCUAGCGUUGUUCGGAAUUACUGGGCGUAAAGCGCACGUAGGCGGUUAUUCAAGUCAGAGGUGAAAGCCCGGGGCUCAACCCCGGAACUGCCUUUGAAACUAGAUGACUAGAAUCUUGGAGAGGUCAGUGGAAUUCCGAGUGUAGAGGUGAAAUUCGUAGAUAUUCGGAAGAACACCAGUGGCGAAGGCGACUGACUGGACAAGUAUUGACGCUGAGGUGCGAAAGCGUGGGGAGCAAACAGGAUUAGAUACCCCCGUAGUCCCUGUCUCUUAUAA